rnacentral:misc_RNA from 1 species
CUCCGUUUCACAAUGUAAGUUAUUGUAGCAUUCUCCACAUUCAUAUUGAUGUUAAUGAAUCUAGAUAGAUAUAUAUGUCUAGAUUCAUUAACAUCAAUAUGAAUGUGGGAACUGCUAGAAUGACUUACAUUGUGAAACGG